rnacentral:lncRNA from 1 species
UGUUUCUUGAUGAGACAAGGCACUCUCCUUUUUUUCCUUCAGGUGUAAUCUUGGCGUGGCUUGUCAAAAUGAUGUAAACAUAUAUAACAUAGCUAAAGAUAUAUGCAGUACAGCAUGUAACUAAGCUAUAAGAUUAUUGCUCUGAAAAGAAAAUGAUAUAAUAGCAAGUUCAUGUAGAUUUUCCAGGUUAGUAAAUUUGCAUUGUAAAAAUGUAUGGAUAUGUCAACACAUUAUAUCCUGAAAAAUAUGCAAUAUCUUUGGACUUCAGAGAAUGUUUCAAUUUCCCAAAUACUUCAGCAUAUCAUUUAUGCAAGCGUUUUGCAUGGAGUUCUAUUUGUUCUCAAUCAGAAUACUUUGAACAAGUUUUCUUUUGUGUCCAAGUCAUAUUUGAUGUGUUGUAUGUAAUAAAACAAAAUCUUGUAAGCACUGUCUUAUUACUGAUCUUGGUACAUUGUAAAGACAAAUAUACAAUAUCCUCUACUAUAGAAGGGUUGUGAUUGAGCCUAUAGAAGAUCUGGUCCAUCUAAAUGGGUGAUUAAACUGGCAUUAGCUUUGUGGAGGCAGGCUUAUGCAUAGUAUACCAGUGAAAGCUGAAGUAGUUUGGAAGGGGCAGUUCAUUCAAAAAGACCAAGCUGUACAGCUGUUCUUUAUUUUCAGUGAGGAUGUGAAACACUUAUUUGCUAUUUAACAAAAGUUUCAAGGACAAUAUUUAUAUCACCACACACCUCUACAGUCUUGAAUAAUCUGUAAAUGGUUGUACUGAGUCACUGAAAUACUCCUAUAUUAGAGCAAGUUUCUUUUGAAGCAGGUGGGACAUAGGAUGGGGCCAAAAAAAUUUCAGUAUAACGUCUGUUUUAAAAAAGGCUGGAUUAGGUUGUUAUUGGUAUUCACAGUAUUGACUCUUUUCUGAGUGAUUUACUAUACAGAUGCUUUUUGUUGUUGUUGCAAAAUAUGGGGUAAAAUUUUCAGUUCUGAAGAACUUGCAUUGUGUCUGAAAUUUGCCUGAUUGCAGUAAAACACAUGAGACUGUAUGCUAUAUAUGGUCAGUAGGAACUCAAGCACUGUUUUUGUUUUUUUUUCCUCUGUGGGCAUUCAUUUUUGGACCAUAAAAGGCUUUCUCUCUUUCUACUUAUCUUUUGGAAAGAGGUAAAUCUAUCAGACAAUAGUAUUUUUUAUGUACUAAUAUGUAAGUACUUAAUGUUUUUAUAUCUAUUACUUAUACAAAAGUCUGUUUUUGUACAUACACCUGGCUAAUACAGGGGAAGUGACAAGAUAACUUUAAGAUUUUCCUAACUUCGCCAAACCAUAAUCAAAUCAUUACUCUGUUUAAAAAGUACAAUUUUAUUAAGCAGCCUCUUAUGAAAAGGGUGAGUUUGUCCAAUCCUUGUCAUACUCUGACAGAGCAGGUAAUAGAAUUGUACCUCCACUGAUUUUUAAAAUUAAUUUAAGGUACCUAUUUGUAUACUUGAGUGGUAAUAUUUUGAAGGUGUUUGGUCUCUGCCUGUGAAGGGUGUCAAUUUGUUUUCAGGUAGCUAUCAUGUUCACAACAUGCUUAUGUGAACAAAAAGUAGUAGUAGUACUUCGGUGACCAAUGACCACAUUUGGUUUAAGACUGACUGCAGCUACGGCUACGGUAUUCUCUAUAGGUAAUGAAGUAAUGAAAUAGUCUCCUUGUGAACAGGCAUGAUGUUUUUAUUUUAUUUCUUGAGCAACUGGCUAUGGUAGUAAUGCUCCUGCUGUUCUGUUACAUUCUGGUAGCACUUAGAGACCUCAGACAUGAAGGUAUAAAUUCUACCCUAGUAAAUGAUUUUAAAAUUUCAGCUAGGUAUCCUUUUUAAGGCUAUAUGAUUUUUUUUAAUGUGUGGAGCUUGCAUAAGCUCUGAUGAAUAGUGUUUGACUCUGCACCGCUUAGCUAUCAAAGCUGCAGAAGCAUGUAUUUAUACUUAGUUUUAAGUAUUCAAAAGAUAGUCCCAAAUGGUAUUUGACCAACUCUCCAUUUUUCCUGGGACUAUGUGCAUUUUGACAGUGGCAGAUCAGGUACCUCAAAAUUUACCUUACCCAAGAGCCUCUCCCUGCAAAGCAAAGGAAGCCCACACAGUAGUCUUGUCCAUGAAGCACGCUUGAGAAAUACCAGAGUUCUAAGCACCCAUCCUUCGAAGGAAAGUAAGUCAACAGUAGCUACUGAAACAAUACUCAGGCUUUUCCUGCCCUCUUCUAUUUGGAUAGAACUGAUUUCUAAAUGUGAUAUUCUAGAACUUAAGUUUGAAAAUUUCAAAAUUCUGUCUACUGUGUUUUCCAUUUCCUUAUCUCCACCCUUGCUUUUUUCAUAUGGCUUCAAAGAAUGAGUUGUGUACACUAAUACAAGGCUUUCAACUGACAGCAACAAAGACAGCAGUGGAUGUAUUGUGUGUUUUGAGAAUAAAAACUUAAUUCUUCAAAAUCACAAAAUUAGCGUGGACUAAAAUUGAAGGCCAACUACAUGUGAAAAACUACAUGUCCUAUCAGAGUGGUGUAUUUUUCCUCUUUGGUUUUACUAUAUCUCUUUGGUGUAUUUGCACUGAUGGGAUAAAAGAUCAUGUAGAAUCAACAGCUGUAGAAAACCAUAUGAAAAUCAAUAUUUAUUUUUUUUUAUUUCUCAGCAUACAAGCAUAAAUAAUAUAUCACAAUCAUUUCAAGGGCCGUUCAGUUCAUUUCAUCGUUGUAUGUGUUGAAUGAUCAUAGGGCUACUUACAUAAGAUGAGCUUUUUUCAUAUCUCCAUUUCUAAGUGUUAGAAAUUCAGCACUGCAAGUUUAAAUAUCAAAAUAACCGGAAAAUGUAAAAUCUACCAGGUGAAAGCUAAUGAGAAAUUUAGAAAAGAAGAAACACAAAGACUUCUCCUUGGAUCACUAUGGUAUGCUCAAAGCACAUCACUGAAUUUUGUUGACAGGAUAAAAAGGAAUGAUGUGAACACUGGGCAGUUAUGUCAGUAGUAAAAAUAUACAAUAGAGUAUGUUCCUGAUGGAUAAAGUAUUUAGUAGGCUAUAGACAUAAGGUUACAUCUCCCUAAAUGGUGAUAGCCAAUUAAGACUGCACCAUCAUGCACGUGUAUGCAUAAUUGGGUAUGCAGGAUAUGUAUAUGUAUAUAUUCAAAAAUAUGUAUAGAUAUUUGAGUUAAUUUUCCUUAAAUGUACUACUUUACAUUUAUCAACAAAGAGUUUCAUUUGUUAUUUUACAAGCUUUAUUUGAUAUGAUAAGAUACUCUAUUACUUUCCUGAGACUUUUGGCUUUGCAAAUCAUUUGUUGUGAUACUGUCAAUAGUUUAUUAAUUAUUUGAUCUAACAAAAAGGUAUUUUGAGUAAAAGAGGGCCUGGCAUUGAUCUCCGUAUGAUUGCUCAUCAAACCCAAAUGUUAGUUUCUCACUCUUAGUUUUUUCUCUUUUUAACUAGUUGUUAAUGGUUCUAUUUUAUCCCAAGAGCAUGCUGGAAGCCAAAGUAACCAACAUGAGAUGGCAGAUGGUGCUGACUUGCACUCAGCUCCCUCAUGGAAGAAUUUCUGUACCAAACUUAUGCAGAGAGUUAAAAUACAUUCUUAAGUUCUAUUUGGAUAUCUCUGAUAUUUGAUAUUGCUGUUAUAAUUUCCACAAAUAUUCUUUGAAGACAAAGAAUUUCACUUAUGAAGCUGACAGUUUGCUGACAUCUGCCCCAGUACAUCCGAGACUUUUGACUUAGCCUGUAUAUAUCCAGCCUCAUAUAUUGCUUAAUGAGUUAGUAACAACACACAUGGAUCUAGGAGGAUAACGUAUGUGCACAUAUACAUUAGAUGUAUGUUAUAAACAAGUUAGAGAUGCUAUCCAGUCAUGUUCCCUAUAGGAUACUACCUUAUUGCUAACACAAAUAAGGUGUUACAGCACGCACUUCUUGAUAAGACUGUCUGGCUGGUUUAAGGGCUGAUUUGGCCCGGUUCCAUGACCAGCGGGGUGGAGGGACCCACAGAUCUACACCUCUGGAAAAGGGGAUAAGGGAAAAAGGGCAGAGAGAUUGGGGCCCCCAAAAUAACAGCGGCAAUAAUCUGAGGAGAAACAAACUAAUUUACUAAAUGAGAUAUUGGAAUGCAAGAUAACACACUAUAAUACAAUAUAAUUAGAAUUGGAGCUAAUAAAUCAAAUAAAAUGGGAGAGAGUGUCUGAAAGCCAAAGGCCUUACUCUAAUGCUGAGGCGAGGCGUGCGGUCAGGAUGAGCAGAAGGGAGGAGAGCCCAGUCUCAUGACCUUGCCAGGGGCUUUAUCUCCCCUCUGAACGCAAAGUCCUCUGGGGAAUGUAGUUCUUCUCUUCUGGACAGGUGCCCGGACCUGGAGCAUUGACUCUUUAACUCCCAGUGCACCACAUGAUGUUACGAUGUGGAAGACCGAUAACCAAAAAUCAUAAAACCAUGACAAUGGCCAAACUUAUUUCAUUUAUAAGCAGCUGUCUUCCGUACCACUUCAAGUGCAUAAGUAGAAUAACUGUGACUUUCACUUUUGCAUUGUGGAAAAAGGACAGACAAUUUUGUCCUCAGUAAGCAUUCUUUUUUGUCUAAUGAAAGCUUACUUUGUUUCCCCAAUCUUGCUUUUCUUGCAUCACAAGCCUUUAAACCAAAUCAAAAGCUUUCACAACAGUACUGUACAACUUUGUAACGUCUAUGAGCAUAGUGCAAAUUAUUAUAUUGUUAUUCUUCCUUAUUAUUUACAACUUUUACAGCUUAAAUAUUUAUAAUGGCAUUUGUACAAUUUAUAUAAAAAUUCUAAAAAUCAAAACAGAAGAAAACACAUUCUUAUGUUGCUUCCUCAGUAAGAGGAAUUACAAACUCAUUAGGUUUUAAUACCUCUGCAUUUACUUUGUAUUCCAGAUAAAACUAGUUAUAAUCACUUGGCAGCACUUGAGAAGUCAUCUCAGUACAAUUAUUGUAGCUGCAUGCUUAGUAAUAGAUCCCAGAUUUCUGUAGGUGUUAGACGAAUAAACCCCAACAAUGUAGAAAAAUGUUUUCCUGUUUGUACACUGACUUCUUGAAGGAUGUCUGUAUGUCUCUUUGGCCACUGUUUCUCUGAUGGAUCAAACGCUGCACCUUGGUCACUGAAUUUGACUUUCAGAAUUCCCCAGAAUUAGCUUAUAGUUGAUCGUCAUAGAUAGCAACAGAGGAGUUUUGAGUCACUUUCUUGUCUUGUCCAGGCUAAGUUGUCAGUCUUUUAUUAUUAAUCAGAUCUGAACUGACAUCGGUCAUGAAAGGUUCAUUCCAACUGCUAAAUACGUUCCUAACAGUGUCAAGAGAGAAUUGACAAGUAUGCCAUUUUCAAAUAUCUGUUCCAUGCCAUGGACUGAUUUAAAAAAAGCAUAUUUGGUCUUCCACUACGUUGUCUCUCUACCAGAAAGGUCUCUUGGUUUCCUCUGCACUCAAGGUGUUAGGUGCCAUCUGAGUAACCUUAAAAUGUCUAAGAUUGUUUGUAGGAAUACAUCAGCAAUGCAUACAAGCUGUGCCUUAUGUUUAAAAAUCAGUCAUGAGAAUUCCUUGGAAGGAGUGUAGCUUAAGUACCUGAAGGAUAGCUGUCACUGCUAGAAGCCCUUUCGUUGUUUUCCUGUUUGUUCUUUUAUUUGCUUAAUCUGCGGCUGUACAGAAUACAUCCGUCUCUGGUGUGAGCACAUGGUGUGAGUCUUAUUGGUCUAGUGAACACUAGGAACAGAUAACUUUCUUUAUCUACUUCUCUUGGGUG